rnacentral:tRNA from 1 species
ACCUUCGUGGUGUAGUGGUCAGCACGCUCGACGCGUAUUCGAGAGGUCCGUGGUUCAAGUCCCGGCGAGGUCA